rnacentral:rRNA from 1 species
CGCCUCUUUUCUCGGAGCUUGCUCCACCGGAAAGAGGAGUGGCGAACGGGUGAGUAACACGUGGGUAACCUGCCCAUCAGAAGGGGAUAACACUUGGAAACAGGUGCUAAUACCGUAUAACAAUCAAAACCGCAUGGUUUUGAUUUGAAAGGCGCUUUCGGGUGUCGCUGAUGGAUGGACCCGCGGUGCAUUAGCUAGUUGGUGAGGUAACGGCUCACCAAGGCCACGAUGCAUAGCCGACCUGAGAGGGUGAUCGGCCACAUUGGGACUGAGACACGGCCCAAACUCCUACGGGAGGCAGCAGUAGGGAAUCUUCGGCAAUGGACGAAAGUCUGACCGAGCAACGCCGCGUGAGUGAAGAAGGUUUUCGGAUCGUAAAACUCUGUUGUUAGAGAAGAACAAGGAUGAGAGUAACUGUUCAUCCCUUGACGGUAUCUAACCAGAAAGCCACGGCUAACUACGUGCCAGCAGCCGCGGUAAUACGUAGGUGGCAAGCGUUGUCCGGAUUUAUUGGGCGUAAAGCGAGCGCAGGCGGUUUCUUAAGUCUGAUGUGAAAGCCCCCGGCUCAACCGGGGGAGGGUCAUUGGAAACUGGGAGACUUGAGUGCAGAAGAAGAGAGUGGAAUUCCAUGUGUAGCGGUGAAAUGCGUAGAUAUAUGGAGGAACACCAGUGGCGAAAGCGGCUCUCUGGUCUGUAACUGACGCUGAAGCUCGAAAGCGUGGGGAGCAAACAAGAUUUUAUACCCUGGUAGUCCACGCCCGUAAACGAUGAGUGCUAAGUGUUUGGGAGAGUGUUCGCCCCUUCACUGCUGCAGCUAACGCAUUAAGCACUCCGCCUGGGGAGUACGACCGCCACGGUGGAAACUCAAGAAUUGACGGGGGCCCGCCCCAGCCGGUGGAGCAUGUGGUUUUAAUUCUAAGCAACGCGAGAAACACUUACCACGUCGUUGACAUCCUUUGACCACUCUAAAGAUAAAGCUUCCCCCUCCUGGGCAGAUGAC